GUGGGGAAUAUUGGACAAUGGGGGGAACCCUGAUCCAGCCAUGCCGCGUGUGUGAAGAAGGCCUUUUGGUUGUAAAGCACUUUAAGCGAGGAGGAGGCUACCGAGAUUAAUACUCUUGGAUAGUGGACGUUACUCGCAGAAUAAGCACCGGCUAACUCUGUGCCAGCAGCCGCGGUAAUACAGAGGGUGCAAGCGUUAAUCGGAUUUACUGGGCGUAAAGCGCGCGUAGGUGGCCAAUUAAGUCAAAUGUGAAAUCCCCGAGCUUAACUUGGGAAUUGCAUUCGAUACUGGUUGGCUAGAGUAUGUGAGAGGAUGGUAGAAUUCCAGGUGUAGCGGUGAAAUGCGUAGAGAUCUGGAGGAAUACCGAUGGCGAAGGCAGCCAUCUAGCCUAAUACUGACACUGAGGUGCGAAAGCAUGGGGAGCAAACAGGAUUAGAUACUCCGGUAGUCC
rnacentral:rRNA from 1 species